rnacentral:piRNA from 1 species
UCAGAGACUGCAGUCUGUCGUUGGAUGA